rnacentral:rRNA from 1 species
AUUGAACGCUGGUGGCAGGCCUAACACAUGCAAGUCGAGCGGUAACACAGGGAGCUUGCUCCUGGGUGACGAGCGGCGGACGGGUGAGUAAUGUCUGGGAAACUGCCUGAUGGAGGGGGAUAACUACUGGAAACGGUAGCUAAUACCGCAUAACGUCGCAAGACCAAAGAGGGGGACCUUCGGGCCUCUUGCCAUCAGAUGUGCCCAGAUAGGAUUAGCUAGUAGGUGGGGUAACGGCUCACCUAGGCGACGAUACCUAGCUGGUCUGAGAGGAGGACCGACCACACUGGAACGGGGACACGGGCCAGACUCCUACGGGAGGCAGCAGUGGGGAAUAUUGCACAAUGGGCGCAAGCCUGAUGCAGCCAUGCCGCGUGUACGAAGAAGGCCUUCGGGUUGUAAAGUACUUUCAGCGGGGAGGAAGUCGAUAAGGUUAAUAACCUUGUCGAUUGACGUUACCCGCGGAAGAAGCACCGGCUAACUCCGUGCCAGCCGCCGCCGUAA